UACGGGGGGGGGCAAGCGUUGUUCGGAAUUACUGGGCGUAAAGGGCGCGUAGGCGGUCUGCUAAGUUGGAUGUGAAAACUCUGGGCUUAACCCAGAGCCUGCAUUCAAUACUGACAGGCUAGAGUUCUGGAGGGGAUAGCGGAAUUCCUGGUGUAGCGGUGAAAUGCGUAGAUAUCAGGAGGAACACCGAUGGCGGAAGGCAGGUCUCUGGGCCACUACUGACGCUGAGAAGCGAAAGCAUGGGGGAGCGAACAGG
rnacentral:rRNA from 1 species